CUGCAGCCCGAGUGGUGAUCGAUUUUAUUGAGCCUAAAGCGUCCGUAGCCGGACUAGUAAACCCUUGGGUAAAUUGGGCAGCUUAACUGUCCAAAUUCCGAGGGGACUGCUAGUCUUGGGACCGGGAGAGGUCAGGGGUACUCAAGGGGUAGGGGCUAAAUCCUGUAAUCCUUUGGGGACCACCAGUGGCGAAGGCGUCUGACUAGAACGGAUCCGACGGUAAGGGACGAAACCCUGGGGCGCGAACCGGAUUAGAUACCCGAGUAGUCC
rnacentral:rRNA from 1 species